GUUGUUUGUUUAUUUUAAUUUUUCUUAGGAAGAUAACUGACCCUUUAUUUUCCUUUGUAAUAAAUGUGCUUAUAAACCAAGAACAAGCUAUUUAUAGCUGUAUUUAUAAACUGCUUAGUAUUGACUAUUAAUGUUAAGACAAGGCUUUAUAAAGCAUAAACUGACUAUUUACUAAUGAGUGCAGUUAUUAUAAAGUGUUACCAAUGCAUUUACUAAUGUUAACAAAUUAGACAUUAUUUUACAGUGUUAUCAAAUCCUUAAAUGAUUUAUAAGUGUUUUGUAAUGAUUUUAUUGACCUAUAAGCAUUUGUGAAAGUUCUGCUUUCAUUACAGCUUAGUCUUCAUCUGUGAGCUGAACAGAUUUACUGUUACAUCCAUGAGAUCAUGUAAAUUCAAAUAAAUAUCAUGUCACAGGAUGUCAUAGGUCAGUAUCAAAUUAUUUGAAAUUAUUAUUUGCAGCACAAAUAAGUAUUUUUAGAAUUUUUUUUUUAAUUCCUGAAACUGUCAGAAAAGGAUAAGGCCUAAGAGAUUUCUUAAGCUGUAAUGAAAACAGCACAAUUAGCAACAACAACAAAAAAAUAACAAUUUAAA